UACGAAGGGGGCUAGCGUUGCUCGGAAUCACUGGGCGUAAAGCGCACGUAGGCGGAUUGCUAAGUCAGGGGUGAAAUCCUGGAGCUCAACUCCAGAACUGCCUUUGAUACUGGCGAUCUUGAGUCCGGGAGAGGUGAGUGGAACUGCGAGUGUAGAGGUGAAAUUCGUAGAUAUUCGCAAGAACACCAGUGGCGAAGGCGGCUCACUGGCCCGGUACUGACGCUGAGGUGCGAAAGCGUGGG
rnacentral:rRNA from 1 species